CUGACCUUAGCUCAGUUGGUAGAGUGGUGGACUGUGGUUGGACUAAUCUAAAUUGGAAAUCCUUAGGUCGCUAGUUUGAUUCCGGCAGGUUGGA
rfam:Ipomoea nil DNA, scaffold: scaffold3056, cultivar: Tokyo-kokei standard.